rnacentral:rRNA from 1 species
UAGGGAAUAUUAGAAAUGGACGAAAGUCUGAUCUAGCAACACCGCGUGUGCGAAGAAGGCCUUCGGGUUGUAAGGCACUUUUUGGAAGGAUUAGGAAGGAAUGUACUUCCAGAAUAAGUCUCGGCUAACUACGUGCCAGCAGCCGCGGUAACACGUAGGAGGCAAACGUUAUCCGGAUUUACUGGGCGUAAAGCGCGUGUAGGUGGUUCUGUAAGUAGGGCGUGAAAGCUCCUGGCUCAACUGGGAGAGGCCGUUCUAAACUGCAGAGCUAGAGGAUGGUAGAGGGAGGUGGAAUUCCGCAUGUAGUGGUGAAAUGCGCAGAUAUCCGGAGGAACACCAGUGGCGAAAGCGGCCUCCUGGACCAUUCCUGACACUCAGACGCGAAAGCUAGGGUAGCAAACG